rnacentral:sRNA from 1 species
GAUCGAGCAAGUUGGCACAGCCCCUGCAAUAACCGUUUCAACAAUCUACAAAAGCGCGUCCCUCAACGAAGAGGCUCGCACUUCCCGAUCGAACGGGACUUGGACAAAGGCGUCCUCGCUGGGUAACCGGCGGGACGCC